UGGAAGAAUUCAACCAGAACAGCUUGGCUGCUUUUAGGAAGAAAGAUCUCAUUAUGAAGCCAUCUCCCUUCAUCAAAUUGGCAGACCAGAGUGCAGCAUUUUUAUUUGAUUUUUAACAGCAACAACAAGAACAGCAAGAAGCUCAGCAAACAUCAAGGAACAAGAAACUCGAACAAGAACUGUAAUGGAGUUCAUGCGACUGCUAAUUUAAUGAAUAGAUGCACCCAAGGAACAGCGUUUUUGUAUGAGGACCAUAUGAUAGGAAGAAGCAAUAUUCACCCUUCCAGUCCUAGAAUCCUAUGAAUAUUUUGAAACAAUCUCCCCUAGGUGCAGCAACUUGCAUUUAUUUCCUUGGACUUCAUCUUGUUGUUCCUAGCCCAGCUUCCCAGUCUAACCGGAUCCAUCUGAAUUCUACUCCUAUCCUCCAAAGUGUCUGCGGCAAAUCCCACCUUCCAGAAUCUGGAUAUUUGUCUAUAUCCAAAUAAUGAUUUACACCAACUGGUAAAUGAAAUCUUCAAUUCCUCAUCUUGCAAUUCAUGGCAUUUAUUUUAGGUGGUGCAGUCAGCAAAAUUCAUGCAUGAAACAUUACUUCCCCGCUUCAACAGUUUUAACACAAAAUGACCCAAGUCAAGUGUCAUUGUAUGUACAAAGCUACAGAAUUAACCCACCACCUUUUUUUUCUUGUAAAUAGGUUGAA